rnacentral:tRNA from 1 species
UGGGGUAUCGCCAAGCGGUAAGGCACCAGGUUUUGAUCCUGGCACUCCCUGGUUCGAAUCCAGGUACCCCAUCCA